AAGGAGUAGCCGUCAUCAGCAAUAAACAAUGGUGUAAAAUUUGUAGACCACUGAGAUAAGGAGAUCGAUGAAGUGAAACAUCCGACGACAUUGCCCCUUGUAUCAGAUUUUGGAGGCGCUUAGAGGGUCGCUUGGAUCUGUUGAUAUUGAAUAAGGUUCUCUUGGUGGGCACAAGUAGUCAGACAAUGAUCGGCAGACCAAUAGUUCCUGAUGCAGCAGUUCAUGCAGUUGUUGAAGAGCAUGUUAGCAUGGACACAAAUGAAGGUGGUCUUCGGUACAACGAUCAUAUUUAUCAUGAAAGAUUACCAUCAGACGAAGACGAAUCAGAAGAUGAAAUGUCAAUUUGGUUUGGUAAAUGCACAGAGGUAACUGCGCAUUCAAAGGAGGCAACGGGGAGUGGAAAACCGGCUGAAUCAACAGAACUGAGGCAAUCACCUGGUAUAGCACAAGAGGUCAAAACAUUACCUGAUGUUG